CUUUGACCCACGACCUAUAUGCUGCGAAUGUAAACAACCUGGUCGAUCUCAAAACGCUUCAAUUUUACGGUAGUAUUUUCAUGUUAUGCUGGAGUUUACCGGUAUCCAGUCUCUGAGAACAAGACAUUGAAUGGUGAAGUCAGAACAGAAUGUGUUUUCUACACAAACGGCGACGAAAUCAAUUCAUUUAUCCAAGACCUCGCCGGCAAACAUGGCGGCCAUUACACCCUUCAGAUGCUGAAGGACCUUCAUUAAACCAACAGAAAGAUAUGGACGUCACAGAUGUAUAAUCCCUCCUGAAUUGCCAGAAGAUUGUGACCCUAUCCGCCACCAUCAGAAGCUUAAUGAGGACAGUUACAGUACUUGCUGACUUAAGUUGGGCAUAUAUGUCUCAUAAUAAAGUUUCAUAGUCUUUUAUAAGUUAUUUAAUAUAUGAUAUGAUAUUGUACUUAUAUAUAUUUGCCCGAUUAUUUUUGACACAUGCACAUCAUCACAUGU